GUGGGGCAGGGACUGUGGCUGCAAGACUGUCCGAGGAUGGUAUCAGCCCUUGCUGGCUUCCCCAAACCUUGCUCACACCUGUGAACACUCUCUUGCCUUUCCACCUUCUACCAUGGGAUGAUGCUGCAAGAAGACCCUCCAAGAUGCCAGCUCCUCAGUGUUAGAUUUCCCAGCCUCCAGAAUCGUGAGAAAUAAAUAUCUGUUUAUUAGAAAUUACCCAGUCUGUGAUACUCUGUUACAGCAGCACAAAAUAAACUAAGACAGAAAAUUGGCAUAGAUAAGUGGGGCUGUUGCUAUAACAAAUACCUGAAAAUGUGAAAGUGGCUUUGGAACUGAGUAAUUGGUAGAAGCUGGAAGAAUUUUGAGGAGCAGGCUAUAAAAUGCCUAGAUUGCCAUACACGGAGCAUUAAGGGUGAUUCUGGUGACGACUCAGAGGGAGAACAAGAGGUGUAAGGAGAGCCUGAAUCUUCUUAGGCAUUACUAAGUGUUCAUGACCAGAAUGUUGGUGGAAAAAUGGACAGUAAAGGCUAUUUGCAUGAAUUCUUAAAUGGAAAUGAGGGACAAGAUAUUGGAAACUGGAACAAAGCCAUCCACGUCAUAAAGCAGAAAAGAACUUAGCUUAAUUGUGUUCAGGUUUGAAGGUGUUGUGGCAGGCAGAACUUAAGAGCAAUGAAGUAGAAUAUCUGCUGAAAGAAAUUUCUAAACAAAAUAUUGAAGGAGCUGUGUGGCUUCUUUUAACUGCUUACAAUAAAAUGAGAAAGGAGAGUAAUGCUUAAAGAUGGAAUUUAUAAUUUAAAGGAAACCAGAACGUAAUGUUUGCAGCCUAGCCAUACAAAGAACAA